rnacentral:rRNA from 1 species
GACGAACGCUGGCGGCGUGCUUAACACAUGCAAGUCGAACGGAAAGGCCCUGCUUUUGUGGGGUGCUCGAGUGGCGAACGGGUGAGUAACACGUGAGUAACCUGCCCUUCACUUUGGGAUAACUUCAGGAAACUGGGGCUAAUACCGGAUAGGAGCUCCUGCUGCAUGGUGGGGGGUGGAAAGUUUCGGCGGUUGGGGAUCGACCCGCGGCUUAUCUGCUUGUUGGUGGGGUAGUGGCUUACCAAGGCCUUGACGGGUAGCCGGCCUGAGAGGGUGACCGGCCACAUUGGGACUGAGAUACGGCCCAGACUCCUACGGGAGGCAGCAGUGGGGAAUAUUGCACAAUGGGCGGAAGCCUGAUGCAGCGACGCCGCGUGCGGGAUGACGGCCUUCGGGUUGUAAACCGCUUUCGCCUGUGACGAAGCGUGAGUGACGGUAAUGGGUAAAGAAGCACCGGCUAACUACGUG